GGCUGUUCGGGCUUAGAUUCUUUAUAUUUAAAUUGCCCAGAACUUAAUGAUUUGAAUCUGAACUCUUGUAGAAACUUGGAUCCAGAAAGAUUACUUCUUCAGUGCCCCAGUUUAGAAAGUGUGUAUGCCUCANNNNNNNNNNUUGAUCAGAGCCAUUCAAAGCCAGGUCAAUAAUUUUGAUGCCGCAGAAAACCAUUGCCCAAGUAAACGUCUAGCUGAUAGCUCAAAGAGGGUUCGCGUCCCGCAUUUUCUCAGUCAACAGCCACUUGAUGAUUAUAAGAAGAGAAGGAGGAUUGGAGUUAGUCCUUGCAAUGUGGUUGUAGACUAAUAAUGUGUACCAGAAAAUUUUCUUACUGUACACAGUAUUUGAUGUACCCUGUG
rnacentral:misc_RNA from 1 species